UACGUAGGGGGCAAGCGUUGUCCGGAUUUAUUGGGCGUAAAGAGCGUGUAGGCGGCCUGAAAGGUCAGCUGUGAAAACUCGAGGCUUAACCUCGAGACGUCGGUUGAAACCAUCUGGCUAGAGUCCGGAAGAGGAGUGUGGAAUUCCCGGUGUAGCGGUGAAAUGCGCAGAUAUCAGGAGGAACACCGGUGGCGAAGGCGGGUCUCUGGGCCGGUACCGACGCUGAGGAGCGAAAGCGUGGGGAGCGAACAGG
rnacentral:rRNA from 1 species